AUUGAGCGCUGGCGGCAUGCUCAACACAUGCAAGUCGAACGGUAACAGGCCCUUCGGGGUGCUGACGAGUGGCGGACGGGUGAGUAAUGCUUAGGAAUCUGCCUAGUAGUGGGGGAUAACCCGGGGAAACUCGGGCUAAUACCGCAUACGCCCUACGGGGAAAGGCGGGGACGUUCGGUCCGUCGCGCUAUUAGAUGAGCCUAA
rnacentral:rRNA from 1 species